AGAACAUUCAUUAAAAUAGUCUCUGUUUACUUUAAUGCAGAUUCUGUUUAUUUAACUGAACUGCAUUAGAACUUGGCAGGAAAUCCAUGAAGUUCAAGUCCUUCCUGAAAUCAGUCAGACCUGUAUGACUCCAUAAGCUUAGCAUUUAACAUGGCAAAGUCUACACUAUUGACAUCAGCUGACAAAUUCAAUAUAUUCUCAUGAUUCAUUAAUAGUUGAAUUGUUGAAUAAAAAAUAAAC